ensembl:lncRNA
AAAGUAACCAUGAUAGUUUGAGGACGGAGCACUUCUUAUGUUAGAAUUCUAUAAAAUCAACCACUAAGACUGGUUGCUUCAGACUUGUAAUGUUUUGUAACCCCUACUGUUACUUCAAAAGAAGAAUUUCGCCUCUGACCUAUGAAAUGGGGAAAGCAUCAGAGGAUAGGUAGAAAAUGAGAAAGAAACAUGAUAGAGGAACAAUUUUAACCUCCUAAUUCCUUUAUUCUAAAUGACUAUCUUUGAAGCAGAAAAUGGCAAUCCCUAUUCUUCAGAGUAUGAACAUGAAAUGGAAGAUAAAGUUAAGAGUAAGCAUCCAGGGAAAUGUAGCAGUCCCAAGGGACAGCCUUCACUCUUACAGAUCAUAAAACAACAACUGUCUUCAAAGACUGCAUCUUCUCUUGUGAUUUAUGCCUCCGGGGAUUAAAACUGCAUGGAGAUUACAUUCCCCAGCCAGGACAUAGCUGGGAAAAGCUGGUUCAGUGCUUCAUACUGUGGCAGUGUUAGGAGGCUGAGGAGACCUGUGGGAAGACAUGGAAGUAACACAUCUGCACUCUGAGGAUGAGUGACUGCCAGCUGUGUUUUAAGUUGAAUUUGUGGAGAACUACGUCUUGCUUGCUGCUCUUGGCCAGCCAUGGCAAUUUGUAUGUAGGAUUUCUGUGUCUCUGAUACCCCGUAUGUUAUGAAUAUUUCUUCUGGAGUAGGAUGUUGGUGCCUAAGCCUAAGAUUAGAUGCUGGUAUGUGAUACAUUGUUUACUGCGUUGUAUCGUACCUGGAAAAAUAAAGUGAAGCACUG